CAUUUGCAAAAUAGUUGUACAUACACUAAACAAAAUCUGUCUCCUUGAAUAUUUACUAUUUUAAUGUUGGAUUUAUAUGAUUAAUUCUAUUUUAUGUGCUUCUUAUAACUAUUAUUUAAACGUUUAUCACUUUUAUAACACUAGAUUUAUAAAUAAUUUCUAAAUUAGUAAUAAAAUUAAGACGUAAUUUAAUGCCUUUCAUACAAUAUUUUUUUGUCGCCCACACACUCCCUCUAAUUCAAACUAAUAAUUUGGUAUUUUAUGUUUUAAAUCUAAUUGUAUUUAGCUCAUAGUAGAAUAGGUGAAAAUAUUGUUUUACGCAAAACCGAUUGUUAUUAGUAAAAGAUAAUGCAUAGGCGAUUUAUUGGUUUUUAAUUAAAUGUCUCCAAUUUAUUUCUUUUGUGUAAUUCUUAUGUGUAACUGAAAUAUUAUGGCUAUUUAAUUGAUUUUGAACGCACUCAUAAUAAAUUUUAGUAUGGCAAUACUGUACGGUACUACCAACUUGACCAAAUGACAGUGCGGCCGGUCAUUUCACUUUGAGGUUAAGAAUCAUGGUGUGCUCGAGAUUUGUCAACAAAAAAUUCUCUUGUUUAACGUGGACUUUUCUGGUACCGAAAAAUGCCUCCGAUGACUCCAGCCGAACGCCAAAAAAAAUACAGAGAAAAAUUAAAACGCGAAAAUCCCGAUAAAUUAGAAAAAUUGAAAAAAGAGAAUGCUGAGAGGACCAAGAGAAAAUAUAAACCGAUUAACCAAUUUUCAGAUUAUUUGCAGAAUGAAAAACGAAAAAAAUGGCGAGAGCAAAAGCAGAAAAGAAAUGGUGAACCAUCCACUAGCAAACCAACCAACACUGCUGAAACGACUCAAAAAGAAAAACGUAAAGUUCGAUAUAUUUUAUCAAAAGAAAAUUCAGUAUUAAAAGACAAAGUUCAAAAGAUGGCUAGAGUUAUAAAAAAACAAAGAAGAGCUAUAUCUCGCUACAAAGUAAAAAUUGAAAAUUUAAAAAAAUCCAUAGACAAAUUAGAAGAGGACUUACAGUUUUGCGAAAAUUUAGACAAAAAUAUCACUACGAAAAAUAAAGAAGCAACAACACCAUGUUCAAAAACAGAAAAAUUUUUGGAAGAAACAGUGCCAAAUAUACCUACUCCAGAGAAAAAAAAAGUAAAAAAGGUGAUACUUGAAGGAUAUGUUU